UACUAUGUCAAAAAUAGAAGU
rnacentral:piRNA from 1 species